UACAGAGGUCCCAAGCGUUGUUCGGAUUCACUGGGCGUAAAGGGUGCGCAGGCGGCCCUGCGCGUCGCGGGUGAAAUCUCCCGGCUCAACUGGGAGGGUGGUCGCGAGACGGCAGGGCUUGAGGCUCGGUGAGGGGCGUGGAAUUCCGGGUGGAGCGGUGAAAUGCGUAGAGAUCCGGAGGAACACCAACGGCGUAGGCAGCGCCCUAGACGAGACCUGACGCUCAGGCACGAAAGCGCGGGGAGCGAACAGG
rnacentral:rRNA from 1 species